rnacentral:lncRNA from 1 species
ACCCCCCCCUGUGGUUUCCAAUUUUCUCACUUUAGUACCCCGUGGUUUAAAGUGUAUCAAUUUGCGCUCCUGUGGUUUUGUUUUUAUUUUUUCUAUAGUUUUUUUCUUAACAUUUCGUUAAAUUAUAUGCAAAAAAAUAUCAGAUAUCCAUCUACAUUUACGGAAUAUUUAUUUUAGUACUCUUUAAUUUUAAUUUUGUUACUGAUUUGAGGAAAAAAAAUAAUAAAAUUGAUAAAAAAAAGAGAAAAACAAAACCACAGGGGGGCAAAUUGAUAAACUUUAAACCACAGGGUACUAAAGUGAGAAAGUUGAAAACCACAGGGGGGUUUUUGAAGUU